GAUGAACGCUGGCGGCGUGCCUAAUACAUGCAAGUCGAGCGAACAGAUGAGGAGCUUGGUCCUCUGACGUUAGCGGCGGACGGGUGAGUAACACGUGGAUAACCUACCUAUAAGACUGGGAUAACUUCGGGAAACCGGAGCUAAUACCGGAUAAUAUAUUGAACCGCAUGGUUCAAUAGUGAAAGACGGUUUUGCUGUCCCUUAUAGAUGGAUCCGCGCCGCAUUAGCUAGUUGGUAAGGUAACGGCUUACCAAGGCAACGAUGCGUAGCCGACCCGAGAGGGUGAUCGGCCACACUGGAACUGAGACACGGUCCAGACUCCUACGGGAGGCAGCAGUAGGGAAGCUUCGGCAAUGGGCGAAAGCCUGACGGAGCAACGCCGCGUGAGUGAUGAAGGUCUUCGGAUCGUAAAACUCUGUUAUUAGGGAAGAACAAAUGUGUAAGUAACUAUGCACGUCUUGACGGUACCUAAUCAGAAAGCAACGGCUAACUACGUG
rnacentral:rRNA from 1 species